CACCGGCGGCCCGAGUGGUAACCGCUAUUAUUGGGUCUAAAGGGUCUGUAGCCGGCCAGGUAAGUCCCUUGGGAAAUCUGGCAGCUUAACUGUCAGGCUGCCAGGGGAUACUGUCUGGCUUGGGACCGGGAGAGGUGAGAGGUACCUUGGGGGUAGGGGUGAAAUCUUGUGAUCCUCGAGGGACCACCAGUGGCGAAGGCGUCUCACCAGAACGGGUCCGACGGUAAGGGACGAAAGCUAGGGGCACGAACCGGAUUAGAUACCCGCGUAGUCC
rnacentral:rRNA from 1 species